rnacentral:lncRNA from 1 species
GUGGGUGUGAGCGUGUAUGCUAUUGCUGUAUCAUAGCUUAAGGUGCGGCAGCACACCUUGUGUGUGUUUAGGACAUGGUAUGCUCUGUGUGUACAUGACUUUGCAGCUGAACGUGGGUGGUAUGUGCAUUUGGCAGAAAGGGGUCUUACGAAAGAAGGGACACCUGUAUGUGGAAGAGGACUGCUUGGCUUCAACAAGACAAUGUUAGGUCAGAAUGUUAGAAAAGAAACCUCCAAGCAAAUAUUCUUCCAUAUUUUAACCUCACGUAAAUCAUGGUGCUAUCUUGACAACAAGAAUGGAAUUGAGCCUACUUCUGGUGUUAUUAUAUAUAAAACAGAGCAAUAUGUUUUGAAAGUAAAUAUCUCAA